rnacentral:rRNA from 1 species
UACGUAGGGGGCAAGCGUUAUCCGGAUUUACUGGGUGUAAAGGGAGCGUAGACGGCUGUGCAAGUCAGAAGUGAAAGCCCGGGGCUCAACCGCGGGACUGCUUUUGAAACUGUGUAGCUGGAGUGCAGGAGAGGUAAGUGGAAUUCCUAGUGUAGCGGUGAAAUGCGUAGAUAUUAGGAGGAACACCGGUGGCGAAGGCGGCUUACUGGACUGUAACUGACGUUGAGGCUCGAAAGCGUGGGGAGCAAACAGG